rnacentral:lncRNA from 1 species
AGGACCCAAGGGAUCGAAUAAGGAACAUUAUGUAUGUGUUUGAAUGAAUUAUACUAUGGUUUAUGAAAUGUUUGGGAAUGAAUGUUUUUAAGUUAUGAUUUUGUGGUAAUGUCCAUAACCCUAUUUUGGCGACGGAUACGGGUUAGAGGUGUUACAAAAGCUCAGUGUAUAACUUAGCCCUCAUGCACAUAACAUAUAUCAAACAAUCAUACAGAUUCAAAAACUGAACAUUCACAGAUGGCGUAUCAUUUUUAUGCAAUGUAACAUACUAAACAAAUUAGAAACAUAUGGCAUGGCAUAUCAUGCGAUGCAAACAUAUGACACAGAAUAGAUACAAAUCCUACCGCCAUUCGCUAUACACCAUCUUCGUCCAUCCCAUACCAAUUAGGGUAAAAUACCCUUCCCACCCCACACAUUGAAUUAGUGAUCGUACAUUACCAUAUAGAAAUAUGCAAUCAAGCUUCUAGAUAUUUGUGAAAAAUGACCAGAAUCAUAUAUAUAUAGUGUUUAACUGCCAGAUAUAGAAAUUUGCAGUGUUAUCGCCAGAAAUUGCAGAAUAUAGUCUGCUAGAACUUCCUCCGUCACAUAUCAUAUCCCACCCCAAUGCAUAUGCAGAAACAUCAUACAUACUCAGACGCACACAGACUAGACAUGCUCUUAUAUACUCGACAGAUCAGAAUAUGCUAAUGAUGUAUAUAAUUUCACAGAUCAGAAUUAUGUACAACAUCAAAAUAGAAAAUAUCGUAUAGAGACAUGCUUACUCAUACAACAAUUAUACAGAUUUAACUUUACCCUUAUAUACACAGAGUGUUUGCAUUUAAUCAUCAUGCAGAACCUAAUGAUUUUAAUUGAUUUCAUAAAUGGCCACUUAACUGUUAUAAAGUUUUACAAACACACAUUCGGAUCACUUAACCAACGAAAUAGACCCACAUGGCCUACCUAGCCUAGCCCGUGUGGCUCACAUAUUCUGGCACAUGGCCAGACACACGAUCGUAUGGCGUCAGCAGUAUGGUUUUCGGCUUUUCAUCAUUCACUAGAGUUACAUACGUGACUAUUUCGCGAUGUCGACACAACAACAACAAUUCCAAAUCCUAUAACAACACCACCUCAAGUUGAUUAGCACAAAACAUCAGAACCGAAUCAAAAUUCGACCCCUACUCAAUUAGAGUAUUUAGCCACAAAAAUUAGGGCAUUUAUUCUAGACAUACCGAAUUAGUCCCUACUAAGGCAAACAAUCCCUUAUCCUUUGAAAGAAAGUCGACGAAAAUCAUAAAUCACCGGAUGAGAGUUAUGCACUUCUUGAUCCACACCUAGUUAGAAACACAAGAUAAUUAAACUCUACACGAGUGCAUACUAACGACCAACCCAAACACAACCUUCCAUUUACAUAAUACCCGAAUGAAACACUCACCCCUAAAGGUAACAUAGAAAGCACUUACUCAAAGAUGCAACCACAAUGCUAAACACUUUCGAGUGCUCAAGACUAACACCUAAAAACUAGAGGUGGCAGUGACUCAAAGGAUUUCACAGUUAAAUAACGACAACCAAAAAUAGAAGAUGGUGACCAAACAAGGAAAAUGGUAGAAACGAAAAUUAUAACCGUGCAAAAGGGCAAUUGAGAAAGAAGAAAAGAAAACAAGGCAAAAACAACGGAGUGAAAAAAGAGAAUAGAAGAACCUGAGGAUAAAAUAGAAAAGAAUCUAAG